GGGACACGUGGUAUCCUGUCUGAAUAUGGGGGGACCAUCCUCCAAGGCUAAAUACUCCUGACUGACCGAUAGUGAACCAGUACCGUGAGGGAAAGGCGAAAAGAACCCCGGCGAGGGGAGUGAAAAAGAACCUGAAACCGUGUACGUACAAGCAGUGGGAGCACGCUUAGGCGUGUGACUGCGUACCUUUUGUAUAAUGGGUCAGCGACUUAUAUUCUGUAGCAAGGUUAACCGAAUAGGGGAGCCGAAGGGAAACCGAGUCUUAACUGGGCGUUAAGUUGCAGGGUAUAGACCCGAAACCCGGUGAUCUAGCCAUGGGCAGGUUGAAGGUUGGGUAACACUAACUGGAGGACCGAACCGACUAAUGUUGAAAAAUUAGCGGAUGACUUGUGGCUGGGGGUGAAAGGCCAAUCAAACCGGGAGAUAGCUGGUUCUCCCCGAAAGCUAUUUAGGUAGCGCCUCGUGAAUUCAUCUCCGGGGGUAGAGCACUGUUUCGGCAAGGGGGUCAUCCCGACUUACCAACCCGAUGCAAACUGCGAAUACCGGAGAAUGUUAUCACGGGAGACACACGGCGGGUGCUAACGUCCGUCGUGAAGAGGGAAACAACCCAGACCGCCAGCUAAGGUCCCAAAGUCAUGGUUAAGUGGGAAACGAUGUGGGAAGGCCCAGACAGCCAGGAUGUUGGCUUAGAAGCAGCCAUCAUUUAAAGAAAGCGUAAUAGCUCACUGGUCGAGUCGGCCUGCGCGGAAGAUGUAACGGGGCUAAACCAUGCACCGAAGCUGCGGCAGCGACGCUUAUGCGUUGUUGGGUAGGGGAGCGUUCUGUAAGCCUGUGAAGGUGUGCUGUGAGGCAUGCUGGAGGUAUCAGAAGUGCGAAUGCUGACAUAAGUAACGAUAAAGCGGGUGAAAAGCCCGCUCGCCGGAAGACCAAGGGUUCCUGUCCAACGUUAAUCGGGGCAGGGUGAGUCGACCCCUAAGGCGAGGCCGAAAGGCGUAGUCGAUGGGAAACAGGUUAAUAUUCCUGUACUUGGUGUUACUGCGAAGGGGGGACGGAGAAGGCUAUGUUGGCCGGGCGACGGUUGUCCCGGUUUAAGCGUGUAGGCUGGUUUUC
rnacentral:rRNA from 1 species